rnacentral:rRNA from 1 species
ACCCGCUGAACUUAAGCAUAUCAAUAAGCGGAGGAAAAGAAACCAACAGGGAUUGCCCUAGUAACGGCGAGUGAAGCGGCAACAGCUCAAAUUUGAAAUCUGGCCCUAGUGGUCCGAAUUGUAAUUUGUAGAGGAUGCUUUGGGCGCGGUGCCUUCCGAGUUCCUUGGAACAGGACGCCUUAGAGGGUGAGAGCCCCGUACGGUUGGACACCAAGCCUAUGUAAAGCUCCUUCGACGAGUCGAGUAGUUUGGGAAUGCUGCUCUAAAUGGGAGGUAAAUUUCUUCUAAAGCUAAAUACCGGCCAGAGACCGAUAGCGCACAAGUAGAGUGAUCGAAAGAUGAAAAGUACUUUGAAAAGAGGGUUAAAUAGCACGUGAAAUUGUUGAAAGGGAAGCAUUUAUGACCAGACCUUUGCUAGGUGGAUCAUCCGGUGUUCUUCACCGGUGCACUUCGCCUAGCUUAGGCCAGCAUCGAUUUCUGUAGGGGGAUAAAGGUCUAGGGAACGUAGCUCUCUUCGGAGAGUGUUAUAGCCCUGGGCGUAAUACCCUUACGGGGAUCGAGGUUCGCGCUUCGGCAAGAUGCUGGCAUAAUGGCAUCAUGACCCGUCUUGAAACACGGACC